AUUCAGUUAAGACAGCAGCCAGACCUAUUUCCAGAAUCAAACUGUCCCUUCUCUUAUUUAAAAUGUAAAAAAUGCUGGAGCCCUAAGAAAAAAUGGAAGACACUGGUGAUGGUGCCUUCUGUCUAUAAAAUACAUCUUAAGGUGGUUAUUGAUCUAUUUCAGAUGCUUGUGUAGGCAAACAAAGCAGUUCACCUCUACACGCUGGGAAAAUGCGCUCAAGAACUAUUUUUCCAGAUUGGUUUCAACCUUUUUCCAAAUACAGAUCUUCCAGAGGUUUUGAAAGAGCUUAGUUUCUUAAAAAAUGGCACUUGAAGUUUGCUUGUUUAUAUUAAAGAAAGAGGGAAAAAAAUGAAUAAGGAAAUAUCUCUUUGAAAUAACAAAUAGUACCGAAAUAUUUUAAAAAUACGAGCUCCUUUCACAAAAAGAAAAUAAUAGAACAUUAUUAGAUGGUGCCAUUUAUGGAAUGUCAGCAAAA
rnacentral:lncRNA from 1 species